rnacentral:rRNA from 1 species
GACUUCUGGUGUAAUGCGCCUGGCCCGCGGCUCUUUAGAUUUGUGAGUGCUGGCGCGCGUUUACCAUCCUUCUAGAGAACGAGUCUUCCCUUUACUGGGCCGGAUUCGGGAUCUAGAUCAUUUACUUUGAAAAAAUUAGAGUGUUUAAAGCAGGCUAUUGCUGUGAAUACAUUAGCAUGGAAUAAUAAUCUAGGACUUCGGUUCUAUUUUGUUGGUUUCUAUAACUGAAGUAAUGAUUGAUAGGGAUAGUUGGGGGUGCUAGUAUUGGCCGGUCAGAGGUGAAAUUCUUGGAUUCGGUCAAGACUAACUUAUGCGAAAGCAUU